UACGUAGGUGGCGAGCGUUAUCCGGAAUGAUUGGGCGUAAAGGGUGCGUAGGCGGUUUGAUAAGUUAGAGGUGAAAUGUCGGGGCUCAACCCCGAAACUGCCUCUAAUACUGUUGGACUAGAGAAUAGUUGCGGUAGGCGGAAUGUAUGGUGUAGCGGUGAAAUGCUUAGAGAUCAUACAGAACACCGAUUGCGAAAGCAGCUUACCAAACUAUAUCUGACGUUGAGGCACGAAAGCGUGGGUAGCAAACAGG
rnacentral:rRNA from 1 species